rnacentral:rRNA from 1 species
UACAGAGGUCUCAAGCGUUGUUCGGAUUCAUUGGGCGUAAAGGGUGCGUAGGCGGCGCGGUAAGUCGGGUGUGAAAUCUCGGAGCUUAACUCCGAAACUGCAUUCGAUACUGCCGUGCUUGAGGACUGGAGAGGAGACUGGAAUUUACGGUGUAGCUGGUGAAAUGCGUAGAUAUCGUAAGGAAGACCAGUGGCGAAGGCGGGGUCUCUGGACAGUUCCUGACGCUGAGGCACGAAGGUCAGGGGAGCAAACGGGAUUAGAGUACCCCCAGU